rnacentral:lncRNA from 1 species
UUGUUGGCAUCCACAAUAGUGUCUGGGUUUGGUGGCUGUUUAUGGGAUGGAUCGCCAGGUGGGGUAUCUCUCGAUGGUCAUUCCUUCAGUCUCUGCUCCGAACUUUGUCUCUGUAACCCCUUCAGAUGGAAAGGUAAUUCCUUUAGGCUAUAGUUUGGUGAUUGUUUUGCUUUUUCCUUUUUUCCCCAGUUCUGGGAAUUGAAUGUGGGGCUUCAUGUAUACAAGAAAACCUUUAAGCAUUCUACCACUAAACUAUAUCCACACUUCUGCUCAAUAUCAUCUUUUUUUCAGCUUUACAUAUUGGGGUUGGAGAAAGGUUUCUGUCCCCAGCACCCACUCACAUGGUAGCUCAUAACUAGAACUCCAGUUCCAGAGGACCAGAUGCUCCUCUCACCUCUGUGGGCACCAGGCAUAUGGUGCACACUUAUAUGCAACCAAAGCAUUCAUAAUCCCAGCACUCAGAAGGCAGAGGCAGGCUGCUUUCUGGGAGUUUGAGGCCAGCAUGGUCUACAGAGCUAGUUCCAGGACAGCCAGGGCUACACAGAGAAAUUCUGUCUUGAGGGAAACCAAAGAUAAAAUAAGUAAAUAUAUAUGUAUGAAUGUUUUGCCUGCAUCUGUGUCUGUGGAACAUGCACAUGACUGGUGCCCAUGGAAUCCAGAAAAGAACAUUGGAUCCUUUGGAACUGGAGUUGUAGAUGGUUGUGAUCUACUAUGUGGGUUCUGGGACUUGAACUUGGGUCCUCUGGAAGAAUAACCAGUUUUCCUAACUGCUGAGCCAUCUCUCUAGUCCCUUGUUCUAUUUUUGAGACAGGGUCUUCUGUUACUCAGGCUGGCAUUGAAAUUGCUAUGUAGCUGAAGUUGCUUGGCACUCCUGUGGUUUACCUCCCUAGUGCUGGGAUUACAGCACACAUGCUUUUAAAGAUAGAACAGUGAUGCUUUUAUAACUAGUUUUGAACCAUUUUGUAGAGAUAGACCCUAACUUUAUCACUGAGAUAGGUCCUCAGCCUUUUUGUAUGUUAAUUUUAACUUUAUUUUCUUGUAAUGUUAGCUUGAAAUUUUUCCAAGUGUAUUUAAUACUAAAUUCAAUUUCAACAUAUUGUAUAUACAUAUAUGAUAAUUUCUUAAAAAUAUUACACUUUUACACACACACUGGUUCUUGGCAUCCCAAGGCCAGAAGGUGGUAUUAGUUCUCCUAGAAUUGGAGUUAUAGAAUGUUGUGAGUCACCAUGUAGUUGCUGAGACUCAAACUCUGUCCUCUGAAGAGCAGCAAGUACUCUUAACAGCUGAGCCAUCUGUCUAGCUCCUCAGAUUCUUUCAUUUUCAGAUUGGUAUGUAUGAUAUCCCCCUUUCUUAGAUUUCUAGGCCCCCCCCCCCUUUUAAAGCAAGACGAAUUUUCAUUUACCGGUGUGUCUACUGGUUUGUAGCUAAUUUUCUUUUUGUUUAUUUAUUUAUUAAUUAAUUAUACAUAAGUACUCUGUAGUUGUCUUCAGACACACCAGAAGAGGGCAUCAGAUCUCAUUGCAGGUGAUUGUGAGCCACCAUGUGGUUGCUGGGAUUUGAACUCAGGACCUCUGGAAGAGCAGUCAGUGCUCGUAACCACUGAGCCAUCUCUCCAGCCCUGUAGCUAAUUUUCAAACUUUGUGGCAGUUACACUCUUGCUGCAAAGAACUUAUGUUUUAAAUAAGUAUUUUUUAAAUACCCCCUUAUUUAAAAAAAGUCCCAUGUCCUAAAGAGAUAGUAUUAAAGAAGGUAAGGAACAUUAAUCCUUGAGAAUUUCUCUUCUAUGUCACAGGAGAGAAAACAUAGGGAAUAUUAACAACGCUGUAAUAUUUUCACCUGUUUCUUCCUAUUUCCACCACUCAUUCAGGCCAAAAGGUAUUCUUUUAACCCUGGCAGGAGAAUUGAGGAAGUGGUAGUGUAGCCAUGGCUUGUGGAGAAAUGAAACUAUGCACUGAUAUGUUUAAAAAGCAAACUUGUCAGUAACAUGGAUUUUUUUUCCUCAGUGGAAUAUGUGUACUUUCCUGAGUUUAGAUUAUCAAUGCAUAAAGUGUUGCCAUUCAUUGGAAAAUAUUGAGUUGACUCUUAAGGUUUUGGUGUUCUAAAUGUCCUCGAAAAAUUACAGUGGAAUCUUUUAGGUAAGGUAGGAUUUUAUUAGGUAGUUUUCUUUUAUAGGUACUGACUUCCUAAUCCUUUGAAGUUAGUCUGAAGUAAUUUACAAAGUACUAUAGAAAAAUGGCAGAUCUACUGAGGUAAUUAUGUACUGGUAAAUAUGACAUGUAUAAAUCUUCAAUGUUGGUAGGUUUUUAAGUUUCUUAGAAUUAGAUUGUUGCCUUUCUCACAUGAGCUAUGUUUUUAUCUGGUUUUGAAUACUUGUUUUAUUGCACAGGGUAUAUUAUACAGCUUCUCAAAUGGUAAUUAAAAUCUUAGGGAUAGAAAUGUAGUCCUCAGAUCUUGUUAUUCAUGUUCAAGAGACAUAGUGAAUUACCAGUUUCUUCUAAGCUGCCUUUGCAUUAAUGGAUUUUUUUAUCUGACAAGAUACCACUGGUAGCAUUAUCUUAGUACAUGGGAGUAUAUAGUAGGCUCCUUAACAUUGAUUUUUUUUUUCUUUUUUGCUUCUUACAAUAGCAUGUAAAGUAGUUGAUGGGUUUUUCACUUACUGAAAUUCAGAAUGGUUACAAGAUUUGCCCAAGAUCACUCAGCUAAUAAAUAAGUGCUUACUUUUGAGUUCAAUUUUGCCUAAUUUCAGAUCCUUUCUUCCCAUGGUGAUACACUGCCUCCCAGUGGGAUGAUUUAUAGAUUUCAUGGUGAUGCCUUCCUUGGGAAAAGAUACUAAAAGAGACAAGGAUCCUAAACAGAGGACAGUUAAAUGCCUCUAAGUCGACUCUAGACAACUUAAGAGGUUUAGAAAUGGAGAAAGGCUUAUUUUCUCCAGGGAGCUGGUGAGGAUAAAUUAAUUACUUUCUGCCUAAAGUUGCACAUAUAUUAAUAUUUUGCACGAAGACCAUUGGCAUCUAAACAAGAGUUGAGAAUAGAGGUGAUAGUAAAGUUUAUGUUAUACUAUUUUAGUCUUUAGUAAAAUUAUAGUUGAAUUUUAAGGAACUAACAUUUUUAUAACAUAAGCUGAAACAGAAAGUUGUCGCCACACGUGGCUCACUAAAUACCAGUGGAUUUUGGCUAACAUACAAAGCAGUGGCUUUUAUCAUGACGUCUUCAUGUACUUGCCAUUGUCCUCCAGUCUCAUUCCCCCCUCUGCUGCUGCUCUCUGGCUGCGACAUGCCCUAACUCAGACUGCUUCCUCGG